GCAAGUCGAGCGAGAAAGCUUCUUCGGGAGUGAGUAGAGCGGCGGACGGGUGAGUAACGCGUGGGAAUAUGCCCAUUAGUGGGGGAUAACGUGUGGAAACGCACGCUAAUACCGCAUACGCCCUAAGGGGGAAAGCGGGGGAUCUUCGGACCUCGUGCUAUUGGAUUAGCCCGCGUCGGAUUAGCUAGUUGGUGAGGUAAAGGCUCACCAAGGCGACGAUCCGUAGCUGGUCUGAGAGGAUGAUC
rnacentral:rRNA from 1 species